GUGCUCACUUCGACAGCACAUAUACUAAAAUUGGUACAAUACAGAGAAGAUUAGCAUGGCCCCUGCACAAGGAUAUCACGCAAAUUCAUGAAGUGUUCCAUAUUUUU
ensembl:snRNA U6 U6 spliceosomal RNA